rnacentral:tRNA from 1 species
GGCUCGAUAGUUCAUUGGUAGGACGUCCCCCUUCAUAAGUACAUUUGUUAAAAUGUACUUAUGAAGGGGAAAGAUGUGGUUCGAUUCCACAUCGAGCCA